GCACCGUUAGUCCAGUCUGGUUAAGACACUGGCUUGCCAAGCCAGUGACCCGGGUUCGAAUCCCGGACGGUGCA
rnacentral:tRNA from 1 species